GGUUAAAAAGCUCGUAGUUGGAUCUUGGAAUGUGUUCAAGCGGGUCAGCUUCUGGCUGUGCGCUGCUUGACGUGUUCUUCUAUUUGGUUUUGGUGCGGUGCGCUUAACUGCGUGUCGCUCCCGGCCGAAACGUUUACCUUGAAAAAAUUAGAGUGUUCAAAGCAGACCUGUUUGAGUCUGAAUAUUCGUGCAUGGAAUAAUGAAAUAUGAAUUCGGUUCUAUUUUGUUGGUUUUCGGAACUCGAGUUAAUGAUCAAGAGGGACAGACGGGGGCAUUCGUACUCUGCCGUUAGAGGUGAAAUUCUUGGAUCGGCGGAAGACGCGCAACUGCGAAAGCAUUUGCCAAGAAUGUUUUCUUUAAUCAAGAACGAUAGUCGGAGGUUCGAAGACGAUCAGAUACCGUCCUAGUUUCGUCUGUAAACUAUGCCAGCUAACGAUCAGACAGAGUUCUCUACGACUUGUCUGGCAGUUUCCGGGAAACCAAAGCGUUUGGGUUCCGGGGGAAGUAUGGUUGCAAAGCUGAAACUUAAAGGAAUUGACGGAAGGGCACCACCAGGAGUGGAGCCUGCGGCUUAAUUUGACUCAACACGGGGAAACUCACCCGGCCCGGACACAGUGAGGAUUGACAGAUUGAGAGUUCUUUCUUGAUUCUGUGGGUGGUGGUGCAUGGCCGU
rnacentral:rRNA from 1 species